AUUAAAAGUUCCUUUAUUAGCAGACUACAUAAAAAAAUAAUCAAGCUAUGUAUUAUUAUGAACAUCAUACUUGUAAGUGAGGAUCAUUUUUCCUGUAAGUAUAUUAAGCAAAAUGUGAUUUAACCUGAAAGUGUAUGGAACUAUUUUGUGUUAUUUGAUGCUUCACUGAUAGGCAGGAGUUUACUACUUUCACUUUCUUUUUCAGGGGUUGACGUAAACAGACGGAUUUUGCGGGAAAACGAAUCUGACAUCAAACCACGAAACUCGGACCGAAGAUGGACAACUUGUGUAGCUUCAGUUUGAGGGAUCACUCGUUGCUGAACGAAAAUUAGGGAGAAUUCUGUGUGACAUUAUGUUAACAUUACCGGCUAUGGAAAAUGUAUUAGUGGAUUAUACCCAUAUUAAAGCUUUCAGUGACUGAGACUGGGCACCGAGGGGAGCACCUAGGGAAGCAAGGGUUUUACACACCGCCAUGUCUACCCCAUUGUUAGCUCGUAACAGACCCGAGAGAGCACGGGAUUUUGCAUUUCUACUGUCACCUGGUUCUAGAUCAUGUGCCCGUAGACCAACAGAUUUCUGCCACCAGCUAGUUUUCUUGCCACCCUUACAGAGAGUUACACUCCAUCUGCAACCUUCACCGCAACCCCCACUGUAGCACUUGAUGACCCUGUCUACGACUCUAGGGGUUGACGUAAACAGACGGAUUUUGCGGGAAAACGAAUCUGACAUCAAACCACGAAACUCGGACCGAAGAUGGACAACUUGUGUAGCUUCAGUUUGAGGGAUCACUCGUUGCUGAACGAAAAUUAGGGAGAAUUCUGUGUGACAUUAUGUUAACAUUACCGGCUAUGGAAAAUGUAUUAGUGGACUAUACC